AGCGAACGCUGGCGGCAGGCCUAACACAUGCAAGUCGAACGAACUCUUCGGAGUUAGUGGCGGACGGGUGAGUAACACGUGGGAACGUGCCUUUUGGUUCGGAAUAACUCAGGGAAACUUGUGCUAAUACCGAAUGUGCCCUUCGGGGGAAAGAUUUAUCGCCAUUAGAGCGGCCCGCGUCUGAUUAGCUAGUUGGUGAGGUAACGGCUCACCAAGGCGACGAUCAGUAGCUGGUCUGAGAGGAUGACCAGCCACACUGGGACUGAGACACGGCCCAGACUCCUAAGGGAGGGAGCAGUGGGGAAUCUUGCGCAAUGGGCGAAAGCCUGACGCAGCCAUGCCGCGUGAAUGAUGAAGGUCUUAGGAUUGUAAAAUUCUUUCAACGGGGACGAUAAUGACGGUACCCGGAGAAGAAGCCCCGGCUAACUUCGUG
rnacentral:rRNA from 1 species